rnacentral:rRNA from 1 species
UACGUAGGGGGCAAGCGUUAUCCGGAAUUACUGGGCGUAAAGCGCACGCAGGCGGUUCGCCAAGUUUGGAGUGACAGUUGUCGGCUCAACCGACAAAGGACUUCAAAAACUGGUGAACUUGAGGACGAGAGAGGAACAUGGAACUCCAGGUGUAGUAGUGAAAUGCGUAGAUAUCAUUUGGAACGCCAAUGGUGAAAACAGCUCGCUGGGGAUGUACUGACGCUGAGACACGAAAGCCAGGGGAGCAAACGGG